UCGUGUUUGCUCGCUGUCGUUGUUCGCCGUUUCUGUGUAAUCAAACGUCUGCCUUAAUCGUGAUUUUCAAGUGCCACCUCCGUGUUGGCUCGACCAGAAUGUCUCACGCAAUUCCAACAUGUUAUACGAUUGUGAAGUUUCCGAAUGAGGAGAAUCAAGUGGCAGUCGUGCCAUCCUCUUGGGUAGUUGGAACAUCUUGCUACUGGCCUCCAGAAAAGGAAGAAAGGAAAAUUGGCCUUUAUGUUCGAAAAAACAAGGUCCCCAGUUUGGACUGGCAGUUCCUCGAUUGUACCUCACUGGAGACUUAUGAAACUUACGAAGAAGCGCGAGAAAUGCUGCCGCUUGCAGCAAGCACUUCAGACUUGAAUGCUGACAGAGAGUAUGGACGAGGAAAAAGGAAAAGAGUAAGGAGGGUGUACUCUGACGAAGAAGAUGAUUGUUCUCCACCUGUUAC